AGAGUUUGAUCCUGGCUCAGGACGAACGCUGGCGGCGUGCUUAACACAUGCAAGUCGAACGGAAAGGCCCUUUCGGGGGUACUCGAGUGGCGAACGGGUGAGUAACACGUGGGUGAUCUGCCCUGCACUUCGGGAUAAGCCUGGGAAACUGGGUCUAAUACCGGAUAGGACUCCAAGAUGCAUGUUUUGGGGUGGAAAGCUUUUUGCGGUGUGGGAUGGGCCCGCGGCCUAUCAGCUUGUUGGUGGGGUGAUGGCCUACCAAGGCGACGACGGGUAGCCGGCCUGAGAGGGUGUCCGGCCACACUGGGACUGAGAUACGGCCCAGACUCCUACGGGAGGCAGCAGUGGGGAAUAUUGCACAAUGGGCGCAAGCCUGAUGCAGCGACGCCGCGUGGGGGAUGACGGCCUUCGGGUUGUAAACCUCUUUCACCAUCGACGAAGCCGCCCUUUUUUGGGGUGGUGACGGUAGGUGGAGAAGAAGCACCGGCCAACUACGUGCCAGCAGCCGCGGUAAUACGUAGGGUGCGAGCGUUGUCCGGAAUUACUGGGCGUAAAGAGCUCGUAGGUGGUUUGUCGCGUUGUUCGUGAAAUCUCACGGCUUAACUGUGAGCGUGCGGGCGAUACGGGCAGACUGGAGUACUGCAGGGGAGACUGGAAUUCCUGGUGUAGCGGUGGAAUGCGCAGAUAUCAGGAGGAACACCGGUGGCGAAGGCGGGUCUCUGGGCAGUAACUGACGCUGAGGAGCGAAAGCGUGGGGAGCGAACAGGAUUAGAUACCCCCGUAGUCC
rnacentral:rRNA from 1 species